GAUGAACGCUGGCGGCGUGCCUAAUACAUGCAAGUCGAGCGAACAGACGAGGAGCUUGCUCCUUCGACGUUAGCGGCGGACGGGUGAGUAACACGUAGGUAACCUACCUAUAAGACUGGGAUAACUUCGGGAAACCGGAGCUAAUACCGGAUAAUAUUUCGAACCGCAUGGUUCGAUAGUGAAAGAUGGCUUUGCUAUCACUUAUAGAUGGACCUGCGCCGUAUUAGCUAGUUGGUAAGGUAACGGCGUACCAAGGCAACGAUACGUAGCCGACCUGAGAGGGUGAUCGGCCACACUGGAACUUAGCCACGGUCCAGACUCCUACGGGAGGCAGCAGUAGGGAAUCGUCCGCAAUGGGCGAAAGCCUGACGGAGCAACGCCGCGUGAGUGAUGAAGGUCUUCGGAUCGUAAAACUCUGUUAUUAGGGAAGAACAAACGUGUAAGUAACUGUGCACGUCUUGACGGUACCUAAUCAGAAAGCCACGGCUAACUACGUG
rnacentral:rRNA from 1 species